CAGUUUUGCUGCACCCAAGCCUGUUGUCAAGUUGCUGAAUCUGAUGGUAUACUAGCCGAUCGGGAAGCGCGUCUGACUGUAAUUUCUUCAAGCGGAACAGAGGUACUGAACUGAUGUUUCAUGGAUGAAGCUGGGCUGCUCAUGGCUGUAUGAUUUUGUAUCAAAUGAGGUUUUGUGAAAGGUUGGAACACGGCACUGGCGGUAUACUUUUAAAGAAUGAUCGCGAUCACAAGGCUUGAAGAUGGAAAAUCAAAGUAGGAAGUGGAUCUAGAAUAGGAUUAGGAUACCUUUUUUUUUUGUGAGAUUCUUUUGUAAUUUUGUAAUGAGACUUGUAAUGUAAUUUAGAUUCUGAUUCUUGCAGGUGCAAAGACUUGGUUUUCCAAAUUGAUUUGAAUUGUAUUUUUCCUUCCAAA